rnacentral:rRNA from 1 species
GACGAACGCUGGCGGCGUGCUUAACACAUGCAAGUCGAACGGAAAGGCCCUGCUUUUGUGGGGUGCUCGAGUGGCGAACGGGUGAGUAACACGUGAGUAACCUGCCCUUGACUUUGGGAUAACUUCAGGAAACUGGGGCUAAUACCGGAUAGGAGCUCCUGCUGCAUGGUGGGGGUUGGAAAGUUUCGGCGGUUGGGGAUGGACUCGCGGCUUAUCAGCUUGUUGGUGGGGUAGUGGCUUACCAAGGCUUUGACGGGUAGCCGGCCUGAGAGGGUGACCGGCCACAUUGGGACUGAGAUAAGGCCCAGACUCCUACGGGAGGCAGCAGUGGGGAAUAUUGCACAAUGGGAGGAAGCCUGAUGCAGCAACGCCGCGUGCGGGAUGACGGCCAUCGGGUUGUAAACCGCUUUCGCCUGUGACGAAGCGUGUGUGACGGUAAUGGGUAAAGAAGCACCGGCUAACUACGUG